rnacentral:rRNA from 1 species
UUUGUCCUACGGGGGCGCAGCAGUGGGGAAUAUUGCACAAUGGGCGAAAGCCCGAUGCAGCAACGCCGCGUGAGCGAUGAAGGCCUUCGGGUCGUAAAGCUCUGUCCUCAAGGAAGAUAAUGACGGUACUUGAGGAGGAAGCCCCGGCUAACUACGUGCCAGCAGCCGCGGUAAUACGUAGGGGGCUAGCGUUAUCCGGAAUGAUUGGGCGUAAAGGGUGCGCAGGCGGUCCUGCAAGUCUGGAGUGAAACGC